UACGAAGGGGGCUAGCGUUGCUCGGAAUUACUGGGCGUAAAGCGCACGUAGGCGGCUCUUUAAGUCGGGGGUGAAAUCCUGGAGCUCAACUCCAGAACUGCCUUCGAUACUGAAGAGCUUGAGUCCGGGAGAGGUGAGUGGAACUGCGAGUGUAGAGGUGAGAUUCGUAGAUAUUCGCAAGAACACCAGUGGCGAAGGCGGCUCACUGGCCCGGUACUGACGCUGAGGUGCGAAAGCGUGGGGAGCAAACAGG
rnacentral:rRNA from 1 species